CAGACUUCCAUUAGGAACAGAGUAAAGAAGAUGAAUGAAAAUCAGCAAAGACUCACCUGCAGACUCUGGCAAGCAAAAGAUCUCUAGCCUAGUUCUGCUGAAACCACCCUGCAAAUGCAUCUGCCCACACAGGCUGAUAGGCAGGGGAGAUGAUCUAAAGUUGGAAAGCACUCCUGGACUUCAUCUAGGUACAUUCCAGCAAGACACGAGGACCAAAGACAAAGUGGUGCAAACUGAAGUACAGGCUUGAGCCUUCAUGCAGAGCCUGGACCUCUGUGAGCUCAAUGAAGUGUGUGACCAGCAUGGCACAGAGGGCUUCCUGGGGUUUAUCUGAAAGCCUCUAUGUGUGACUGAGACAGGAGAAACUGCAUAAGUGAAGAACCAGAGCCAUUGCUAUAGAUGACUUCACCCCUGAAAACGAGAAAUUUUCUUUCUUGGUUG